GAUUUAUAGUAUAAAUAAAUACAUUGUUUUUUCAAGACAAAAAUGCCUGCCUAAAUCU
rnacentral:tRNA from 1 species